rnacentral:lncRNA from 1 species
CUUUGAGCAAAAGUUCAUGAUCUCAAAGAAUCUUCAUGCAGUAGACAUUUCAAGGUUGGAGAAAUUUUACAGUACAUGAAAUAGUUGAAGUUUGACAGCAAUUUUGGGAUUACAGCAAUUUUGGCUGUAUGUGGGAUGAAAUAAACUCCACUAAGGUGGGAAGAUUACCUGGGACCAGGCGGUCGAGGCUAUGGUGAGCUGUGAUCAUGACACUGCACUUCAGCCUGGACAAUGGGGCAAGAACCUAUUUAAAAAAUAAAAUAAAAUACUCCAAGGGUUCAUUUGACUUUGA